rnacentral:lncRNA from 1 species
GUCAAGUCCAGAAUCCUGAGAAGACAGUGAACAGGAGCACCUCUAGCAGCAUAACAAUGUCCACAUGCAAGCAGAGGUUGUACCAUCCACAGAGGCCAGGGCAAGCUGGCCUGAGAAGGGUAGACCUCAGAAGUCCUUUGGGUGUUGCAGCCCUUGUAGUCUUGUAGCCUGUGUGCCAUCCUGACUGUAUGUCUGUGUGUUGAGCCUUCCAGAGGGGCUCCUCCUUGCAAGAAACAUGCCUAAUGUUCAUUUUGUCUUUGGAGCUGUUAUCCUAUUUGAAGGGAGGCCACAGCCACUGCUGCUUUCUUUCUGAUAUCCUUUUUUCCACUUGGCUGUUCUGUCUGCAGUGAUGUUGCAAGGGACAAUGAGUAUAGACCAGUCUUCUUUUCUGGUUGUAUCUUGAACCUAAGACACUUCCUGGAUGCCUUGACCAUGAAGCAGAGAAGGGUCCCAGAGUCAUGUUGCUAAUGUUAUCUUCCCAAGAUUACUAACCCUCACCUAGUGCUUCCUACUCAAACCAUCCAGAGGUUUGGUUCUUCCUGGCAUAAGGAGGAGGAGGUUGUAAAGCUGGUUGGGAAUGGUUUCCUUGCAGUUAAAGAAUUGGGAGACGGACAAGGAAUAGUAAGAGUCCUCUAUGUAGGUGGCUCUGCUCUCAACCUGUGCUUAGUCCUAGUUCUUUCUAAGUGAUCUAAGAUACCAUUCCUCUCUACUGGCCUGACCCCUACCCCCACCCCCAAAUGCACCUCUAUGUCUUCAGAUUUUAUGCGUGCUUAAAUUUUUCAUGUGUUAUUGCUGGUAUCUGAGGGCUGUUUCUCUUCCUGUUCUGGGACCCAAGCAGGGUUUAGAUGUCAGGGUGUAGGAAGAGCUCACAGCUUGUUGAUUUUUAGCAGCUCUUUUAUGGAGUCCAGCGGCGGUCACAAUUGUCAUGAUUGGGCCAUUGUGCCUAGAGUGAUGCCAAAAAGAGUUCCACAACCCUUCCUUGCCCUUUAGUAGGUCCUUGCAACAUGGUCACUCCUGCUGUACCUAGGACGUCAGAUAGCCAUGACUGUAGUUCUUGGUGAACAGGUGACCCCUGCACUAGCUCACUCUCCACAUAGUAGCCAGGGCUGACUCCCCCCCCCCCCUUUUUUUUUUUCCCUGAGACAGGGUUUCUCUGUGUAACCCUGGCUAUCCUAUAACUUGAUUUGUAGACCAGGAUGGGCUGGAGAUCCAUUUGUCUCUGCCUCCUGAGUGCUGGGCUAAAAGUCAUGUAUGACCAUACCUAGCUUGCCAGGCCCUGUAUAACUCCUAAAACUGCCACCUCUGCCUUCCACCUCUUUUUUUUUUCUUCUUUUUUUUUUUUUUUUUUCCAAAGCUGGGGACCGAACCCAGGGCCUUGCGCUUGCUAGGCAAGCGCUCUACCACUGAGCUAAAUCCCCAACCCCUGCCUUCCACCUCUUCUAGUCUCCUUCCUCGAACAGUAGUACUUAAAACCAGCCCAAACCCUUACUUCUCUCCUUCUGCAAUGAAAAAAGGGAUGGAAAUGUCCCUUUUGGGACACCUGAUCCAGUUGUUUCACUGGCUACUACAAACUCUACAAUGCAGGCUGUACUCCAAAAACGAGUACAGGGGCUCUUGACAGUAAAUUCCGUCACCUCCCAGGAUCUUCCUGCCUCUUGUACUGGAAAGGAUCUGCCCCAGAUGCUGGCAUGUCGACCCCUACAUCUGCUAAAGGUCAAACUGUUGGAUGAGGAGAGCAGUAGCAUAUGGUGCCGUUAAGACUAUGGUAAAGUAGCCAGUGUGUCUCUUCACCCAGUUGUGUGCUUUCAGCAAUGCCUUACUUAGCUGAAGGCAUUUAGAUCUUGGGACUGUAGACUGGUGAGGAGACCAGGCUCAGCUUAGACCGCUGCUAGCUGCCCCUCCUUUGUUUCAGAUAUUCUCUCCCACAACAUGAAUAAGCAUGGGUGCUUGUAGAAUCCUGGUAACUGAGCAUGUUAGGUAGUUGGUUCCCAUCAGCCAGUGAAUGCUGUGAGGCAUAUAAUAGUCUGUGCCGUCUAAAGGGAGUUGAGACUGCUUUGAGGAACAGAGACCUCAGCCCUUGUCGCCCAGUAGCAAGCAAGGUAUCCAUCGAAUGGACUGGUGCUUUACUCUAAGGAAGCUGACAGGAUUCCAGAAGAUUCCACUGCUUCUUUAACAGCCAGCCAUAUUUGUUUGCUCAUUGUCGCCAUAUUAAAGGACAGAUGGUGGUGGCAUUUGUAGCAGAGAAUCAGUGGAUGUAACUUCCCCCAGCCUAAUCAAAUAUCUAUACAUGAAACCUGGAAACUGCUAAAGGUUGGAAUUUUGAAAAAAAGAAACCAAACAAAACCAGCAAGGAAGCCUCCUAGGAUCUACAUCUUCCUUCUCGUCCUUUCCGACAGUUUUGAUAUCCAUGUUCACUCGGGCUUCCUUUCCUCAUGGGAACUUAGUGUGACAUAUAUUUGGUUGGUCUUUGAGAAGAUUUUUUUUUUUGCUAAUACUAAUGUUUCUUAGACAUGUUGAUUCAUCUUUUCAAAAGAUUGGGAACUUGUAUCUGGUGCUUGGCAUGGACUGUGUCCUAGAGAAGAUAGACACUCAGGCGAGCCGAAGUCCAUAUGUCCUGUCAGGCAUAGUACUUGUCAGGGAGUGGAACUUGGGACAUUUCAUCAUGGUCAACUUUUUCCUACCCUCUUCUUUUUCAUUCCUUGUCAUAGCCUCUGCUAGGGGAGGUGUCAUUCAGUUUAAUAGCAUUUUUAACCAGACCACAUUAUUAAAAAUGGUCAAAACAAGUUUAGAAGGAAAUUGUUUUAUGUACUUUUAAAACAAAUCUCCCAGAUGCAUUCAUGAGGAAAUACUGUACUUUGUCUUAAUUUUAAAAAGAAAAAAAAAAACCUUAAAAAAGGAACGAAACCCACAGUAUACCUUUCCCAGAGGCUAGCCUGUGAGGUCAGUCCAGUUUUGGAAGCACUGCACAGCCAGACCCUUACUGGUUAGUUAGAUCACUGGCUGCGGGUGCCCCCGGCAGGCAGAACUCAGUGCUGUUUGCUUUGAUAAUCGUUAAGCCAUAUCAUCUGAGGUUUCCGGCUUGAGAUGUGAAUUUGUUUUAUAGACUAUAAAUAUACAAUGUAUGUAUAAAGCAGAAUGCCUGUCCUUCUGGUUAUUUUUUGUACCAUAUUGUAAAUUACAUUAUUUAUUCUUUACCAAUUUUUUGGGAAUAAAAGGUGUUUUGGUUAUUUAAUAAACAAAAACUGUUAAACUUCGGCUAAAAUUUCCAGUUCGGCUUGUAAAUGUUUUUAUUGUGCAUAAAUACAUACUAAUACUUCAUCU